AAUUUUAAUAGUAAUAAUUGGCGAAAAUAAAACCAACUGUAUUAUUUUUUCUCUGAGAACUGAACAAUAUUUGCACAUUUCAUUGAUUACAGCAAGUUAAUGUAGAAUAUGUCGGAGGUAAGUCAAACUUCAUUCAUAUAGAACUCCAUGUGAGAGUGUACAGAAACCGAUGUAUCGAUCUUCAAUCAUGUAAUUGUUUAGAACUGAAGGAAUCUCAAUUUACAAGGUGUGCAGUGAAUGCUGACGUAAUUCAAUUCAGUAAUUCACGAUUAUCAAUAUCAAUUGGUAAAAUAUAAAGGUAGGAGCUGGUUUGUUUUUAUUUAGUCCUAACAAUUCCUUUGGCUGUCAUCGCUGCAGGUUUGUCUUCAUUUAUUUAUUUUCUGGACGAACCUUAUUUCCAAUAUAAAUUAGAUUACUGCUAUUUCCUUAUUAUUUUUAUUUUAUUCAAACUUUGUUCUUAAGUAUUUUAUUAUUUACUACGAGUUGCAACAAUAAGGUCAAUUGAAAUACUUACAAUUAUUAUUUGAGCAAAUUUGCCAAGUGUUAAAUUCUCAAUAGUUUCAAACAGUAUUAAAACAUGACUUAAUUUUGUAAUGGAUUUCUAUGUUGUUUGAAAUGUUAUUAUAGUAAAAGAUGAUCCCAAAGAUUUAUAAUUAUACUUAUACUUUUAUUACUGAGAAUGUUAUUGUAUUAUCAUAUGACUUAAUGAAGUAAACGCUAAUAAUUGUUUAUAUUAUAAUAAUUAUUAUUUUUAAAUUUCCGUACCAAUUUAGAUACUUCAAAAAAUCUACAAGGUCUGGCAAAAAAUAACCGGACUAAUUUUUCUAACCAAACCUGGAGACACGCCCUAUAGUCUCAUGACGUCUCUCCAUUUCUUCCAGUCAGCCUUCAAUUAGAUCACAGCAUUCGUUUGUGUUCUGUCAGGAAAAUGCUUAGCGUGUUGGAAGAGCAACACGUGAAGUCCAUCACAAAGGCCCAUUCUAAAAAAACAAGUGUAUGGUGAUAAAUGCCUCACGUAGGUGAGUUUUUGUGAUUUAUGCGAGAAGUGGUACAAGAAAAAGUUGAAGAUGACCACAUCCAAGGAGACUCUCAUUGUCGACGUACAACCGAGAACACUUAAACAAUUUAUUUAAUCUGAAAAGACUUUCGAUUGGAUAUUUGUGUAGUUUCUGAGAUUGUGAGAAUUGACAAAGGAGCAGUUUGGUGGAUUUUGCAUGAAUAUUUUAACUUUUGAAAGAAGCUAAGAUAUAGUGCCUAAGAAGCUUACAAAUAACAAAAAGACUUGAGUAAACAUUUGUGCUAACACUCUGAACACUAUUGAAAUGAUGAACCAAAAAUUUCUAAAAACCAUAACGUGUGAUGAAGAAAGUAGUUUUUCACUUUAUGCUCUGGAAACAGUGCCAAUUUGUGGAUCGCAAGAACCCCAUUUCACAAAGAUCAUGGCUAGCUUGAAUGUACAAAAUUUCAAUGCAAUGAUUUGUUUUUUGUACAUUUAUGGAAUCUUCUUUGUUUAGAGUUCGUUAUUGUCGAUGGAAGGUUUGAGAGAGUAAUAGUAUUUCAUACAUUUGCCAUCGUUGUAUGUUACAAAAUGCAUAAAACUACGUUUCAAGGAUUGAAAUCGUAUCCUCUUCAUCAUGUGAGAAGACAAUUAGUACAUCACAAGCACUAAAAGUCAAGAACAUAAACAAAUGUUACACCAGAACACGUGUAAGUACACACAUUGUGCACAAGUUGUAGCGUUCAAGUACAUGUAUAAAAUAAAAUUUGAAUAUAAUUGGUAAUUCUUGUGAGCUGAACUGAAAACAAAAUGAGUGGUAAGACAAACGUGUUGAAGAUUUGUGAUGUGUCUGACGAAGAUAGCCUUGCUUUUGAAAGGCCUCACAAAAAUAAAAGUAUUAAAUAUUGGUUUAAGUGUUUAAAUGUAAUUAAGUUAACACAAACAUGGUUUAUUCACCAGGCCAGCUAUUGCACUGUGUUGGAACAUCAAUUCUACUCAAUACUUGCCCUCUAGUAUUUUUCUCCUUCUCAACAUGAAGCACUGAAGGGAACAAGAUUUGAGACAGUUGAAGUCUUAAAAGAUAAAGAGACUGAAAACUGUGAAUUUGGUGUUAGAAGACUUCGAACAUUGCUUUGGCCAGUGGAAAUGUUGUAUGGAGUGGUGUGAGGAUCGUGGAAGGAAGGAUUUUGUUCAAGUUGUGAAGAUGUAAAAAUAAAAGAGUUUUAAAGUCCUGGUCCGGUUAUUUUAUAUACUAGACCUUGUAUAUAAAUACAUUAAAUAUUUAGUUGCAAAGAACUAAAACUAUAAAUUUAAUAUUUUCAAAAGAUUAACAGUAAUUUGUUAAAUUUAAUCAAUUGACAUUGAUGUAUAAACAAAAUUGUUAAGCAAUGAAAUCUGAAUAAAAAUAGAUAAUAAAAUAAGUGUAUUACCACGUUAUUUCAAUAAUGUAUUAUAAUGAUACUUCACAAUAUUCGUGAUUGUCAAUUAAUUUAUAAUUCAAAACAUAUUUUUAUUUAUAACUCUUAAGUUUGUACAGCGUUUACUAAAUUAUAUUAAAUCAAUAACAAACGUAAAUUUCUGAUAUUUUUCAAACUAUUUGCGCCGUUGGUAAAAUUUUGAUCUUAUUCCAAUUUCUUCUAUGAAGAAAGAUGAUUGGUUAAAUUAAACUGAAAGGUCUUUUGAUACACAAACUAGUUUCUAAAAAAAAGAAACUGCUCCUUUUCUCAAAACAAUAUUUUUUGGUGAUUUACUUAAAUUCCAGGUGAAAAUUUUCAUUUGGAACGAACCCACUUUGCCUUUUAAUGUACACAGAUAAAGAAGGUUUAGCAUAAGCUACUAAAUUUGAGAUAUGUGGAAAUGGUUAUAAAAGGUAAAGAAACCCAUUAAACAGUCAUCUGUUGAUAUAAUGAAACUUGUGGAAUGUCUUAACACUUUACAUUUGUAAAUUUGUAAUACAAAACCUUUCUGAGUUGUACAAUUGUAUUACUGCAAACUGAAACAGAAACUCAAAUAGUUAGUUUGUGAAAUACGGAUGGUAAUUAUACUGUCAACAUUCAGUGAAGUUAAUAUUACAUUUAUAAUGCAUGUUCGAGAUGAAGGAAUCAAAAUUGUUCAACCUUUAUAUUGGAAAUAAGUUAAAACGCAUAAGAGAAACAGGUUUGUUGAAGUGUUACCGUACAGAGGAACAGGUUUGUUAAAAAGUUUGUUACCGUAUGGAGGAACAGGUUUGUUAAAAAGUUUGUUACCGUAUGGAGGAACAGGUUUGUUAGAAAGUUUGUUACCGUAGGUUAGCGAGACGGCACAAUCACAGCUGGUCUGUUGGACCCCGGUCCCCUGAUUGUCAGGCGAUUGUGUCCUCUAGGGGACCCGCUAAGGCGAUGAUCUCGUCACAGCUGAUAGCUGUUGGACCCCCAGGUCCCCUGCGGUCCCCUCAAUCCCUCGUUCACAUUAUCAACCGUUUCUUUAUCUUUGCAGAUUGAUUACGAUUAAGCCGUACAUCGCGGACAAUGCCGUUGUCGUAAGUACACACUUACGUUGACACUAAUUUAGUAUUUGUACCCAUUGUUCCAUACUCCAUCCGUGGUGCAGCGUUAGGUUAUUGCUUACUUGGUUUUGCAUGACUACUGCCUUGUAGGACUUGGUGCUUUCGCUGCACUGACCCUGUGUUCUUCCACCACUUUUGACAAAUAUAUGUGCGCUAUUUCGACAA
rnacentral:lncRNA from 1 species